UGACACAUCCUUUACCCAUGUGACAUUUAUCAGUGGGGCAAGGUCUUGAGGGACUCAACACUGCAGAUGGCAUCCUCGGGCAGCACGAAGACAUACCUGAGUCAAGGUACACCAUGGGUAACUGCACUGCACACCAAGGCUAACAAAAGAGAAGCUGAGGGAGGCAGAAUGUGGUCCUGUGGCCUUCCAUGCUCAAGGUCCUUUUCUUAAGAGUGAUCUUCUUGACUCACAUGAUUAAUCUCCAC
rnacentral:lncRNA from 1 species